UACGAAGGGGGCGAGCGUUGUUCGGAUUUACUGGGCGUAAAGGGCGCGUAGGCGGCCAGCACAAGUCAGUUGUGAAAUCUCCGAGCUUAACUCGGAAAGGUCAACUGAUACUGUGCGGCUAGAGUGCGGAAGGGGCAACUGGAAUUCUUGGUGUAGCGGUGAAAUGCGUAGAUAUCAAGAGGAACACCUGCGGCGAAGGCGGGUUGCUGGGCCGACACUGACGCUGAGGCGCGAAAGCCAGGGGAGCGAACGGG
rnacentral:rRNA from 1 species